UCGGGAAUUUUGGGCAAUGGGCGAAAGCCUGACCCAGCAACGCCGCGUGAGGGAUGAAGUAUUUCGGUAUGUAAACCUCGAAAGAAUGGGAAGAAUAAAUGACGGUACCAUUUAUAAGCUCCGGCUAACUACGUGCCAGCAGCCGCGGUAAUACGUAGGGAGCAAGCGUUGUUCGGAUUUACUGGGCGUAAAGGGCGCGUAGGCGGCGCGGUAAGUCACUUGUGAAAUCUCUGAGCUUAACUCAGAACGGCCAAGUGAUACUGCUGUGCUAGAGUGCGGAAGAGGCAACCCGAAUUCUUGGUGUAGCGGUGAAAUGCGUAGAUAUCAAGAGGAACACCUGAGGCGAAGGCGGGUUGCUGGGCCGACACUGACGCUGAUGCGCGAAAGCCAGGGGAGCAAACG
rnacentral:rRNA from 1 species